AGGACGAACGCUGGCGGCGUGCUUAACACAUGCAAGUCGAACGGAAAGGCCCGCUUGCGGGUACUCGAGUGGCGAACGGGUGAGUAACACGUGGGCAACCUGCCCUCAGCUCUGGGAUAACUCCGGGAAACCGGUGCUAAUACUGGAUAUCGACUUCUGCCUCGCAUGGGGUGUGGUUGAAAGUUUUUCGGCUGGGGAUGGGCCCGCGGCCUAUCACGCUUGUUGGUGGGGUGAUGGCCUACCAAGGCGACGACGGGUA
rnacentral:rRNA from 1 species